rnacentral:tRNA from 2 species
GCGCCUGUAGCUCAGUCGGAUAGAGCACUCGCCUUCUAAGCGAGUUGUCGCUGGUUCGAUUCCAGCCAGGCGCA